rnacentral:rRNA from 1 species
UAUUAUUCUUGAAUAUAUUUGUUCCUAGGUUAGUAAUAGAUAUUUACUUAAAAGCUAAAAAAUUUGGCGGUAAUUUAAUCUUUUCAGAGGAACUUGUUUUUUAAUCGAUAAACCUCGCAAUAUCUUACUUGUUUAAGUAUAAGUUUGUAUACCAUCAUUAUCAGGUAAUUUUAAAAAAAUAAAUUUCUAAAUUUAAAAGUUAAUAUAAAAAUUAGAUCAUGGUGCAGCUAAUAAACAAGUUAAAAUGAGUUACAAUAAAAUAUUUUAUACGGAUGGUAAAGGAAAAAUUACUAUGAAGGAGGAUUUGGUAGUAUUAAGAAUUUAAUAUGAUCUUAAGAUGAUAGCUCUAAAUUAUGUACAUAU